CCUACGGGCGGCAGCAGUGGGGAAUAUUGCGCAAUGGGCGAAAGCCUGACGCAGCAACGCCGCGUGCGGGAUGACGGCCUUCGGGUUGUAAACCGCUUUCAGCUACGACGAAGUGAAAGUGACGGUAGUAGCAGAAGAAGCGCCGGCUAACUACGUGCCAGCAGCCGCGGUGAUACGUAGGGCGCAAGCGUUGUCCGGAAUUAUUGGGCGUAAAGAGCUCGUAGGCGGUCUGUUGCGUCGGGAGUGAAAACUCAGGGCUUAACCCUGAGCCUGCUCUCGAUACGGGCAGACUUGAGGAACGUAGGGGAGAACGGAAUUCCUGGUGGAGCGGUGGAAUGCGCAGAUAUCAGGAGGAACACCGGUGGCGAAGGCGGUUCUCUGGACGUUUCCUGACGCUGAGGAGCGAAAGCGUGGGGAGCAAACAGGCUUAGAUACCCUAGUAGUC
rnacentral:rRNA from 1 species